UGCUUUGCGCAGUGGCAGUAUCGUGACCUAUGAGGUUUAUCCGAGGCGCGAUUAUUGCUAGUUGAAAACUUUACCCAAUUGGGACAGUGGUAGCCUAGUGGGUAGAGCUUUGGGCUAUCAACCGGAAGAUUGGCGGUUCAA